AGCUGGCAGACGGGGGAGUAACACGUGGUCAACCUGCCUUCGUGUGGGGGAUAACUAGCCGAAAGGUUAGCUAAUACCGCAUACAAUCACUUGAGGGCAUCCUUGAGUGAUGAAAGGAGCAAUCCGCACGGAGAGGGGACUGCAUCCCAUUAUUUAGUUGGUAGGGUAAUGGCUUACCAAGACUUCGAUGGGUAGCUGGCUUGAGAGAGUGACCAGCCACACUGGAACUGAGACACGGUCCAGACUCCUACGGGAGGCAGCAGUGAGGAAUUUUCCGCAACGGGCGCAAGCCUGACGGACCGACGUCGCGUGUGGGAAGAAGGCCUUCGGGUCGUAAACCACUGUCAAAGGGGACGAUAUUGACGGUACCCUUGGAGGAAGCCCCGGCUAACUACGUGCCAGCAGCCGCGGUAAGACGUAGGGGGCAAGCGUUGUCCGGAAUUAUUGGGCGUAAAGCGCUCGUAUGUGGAUCGGCAAGUCUGCAAGGAAAGACCCGGGUUCAACUCGGGAACCCGUGCGGA
rnacentral:rRNA from 1 species